AAGACUAUACUUUCAGGGAUCAUUUCUAUAGUUUCUAACUAGGAAAUGUGAUUUGAAAGCGUUAUGUCUCUCUAAUCACAAUGAUGAGCUUUGAUGUAUUUCUCUGAGCGUGAAUCGGAUUUUAGCUAGUGAUUUUGUCAUGAGCUUUAAUCAUUGAUGAAUGUUCUCUGUUUCUUAUGGAACAUGAGAGGAGAAGUACAUGGUCAGAGUGAU